UGAUUUUAGUUGCCAGCAUUUAGUUGGGCACUCUAAAGUGACUGCCGGUGCAAGCCGGAGGAAGGUGGGGAUGACGUCAAAUCAUCAUGCCCCUUAUGACCUGGGCUACACACGUGCUACAAUGGAUAGUACAAAGGGUCGCGAAGCCGCGAGGUGGAGCUAAUCCCAUAAAACUAUUCUCAGUUCGGAUUGUAGGCUGCAACUCGCCUACAUGAAGCCGGAAUCGCUAGUAAUCGUGGAUCAGCAUGCCACGGUGAAUACGUUCCCGGGCCUUGUACACACCGCCCGUCACACCACGAGAGUUUGUAACACCCGAAGUCGGUAGGGUAACCUUUAUGGAGCCAGCCGCCGAAGGUGGGACAGAUAAUUGGGGUGAAGUCGUAACAAGGUAGCCGUAUCGGAAGGU
rnacentral:rRNA from 1 species